rnacentral:rRNA from 1 species
CCCUUAGACGUUCUGGGCCGCACGCGCGCUACACUGACGAAGGCAACGAGCUUUCCUUUACCGAAAGGUACGGGUAAUCUUUUGAAACUUCGUCGUGCUGGGGAUAGAUCCUUGCAAUUUUUGAUCUUAAACGAGGAAUGCCUAGUAAGCGCAAGUCAUCAACUUGCGUUGUUUACGUCCCUGCCCUUUGUACACACCGCCCGUCGCUACUACCGAUUGAAUGGUUUAGUGAGGCCUUCGGAUCCGCGACUCGUUUGUGGAGAAGUUGGACAAACUCAGUCAUUUAGAGGAAGUAAAAGUCGUAACA